AUGAACGCUGGCGGCGUGCCUAAUACAUGCAAGUCGAGCGAACGGACGAGAAGCUUGCUUUUCUGAUGUUAGCGGCGGACGGGCGAGUAACACGUGGAUAACCUACCUAUAAGACUGGGAUAACUUCGGGAAACCGGAGCUAAUACCGGAUAAUAUUUUGAACCGCAUGGUUCAAAAGUGAAAGACGGUCUUGCUGUCACUUAUAGAUGGAUCCGCGCUGCAUUAGCUAGUUGGUAAGGUAACGGCUUACCAAGGCAACGAUGCAUAGCCGACCUGGGAGGGUGAGCGCCCACACUGGAACUGAGACCCGGUCCCGACUCCUACGGGAGGCAGCAGUAGGGCAUCUUCCGACAUGGGCGCAAGCCUGACCGUGCACCGCCGCGUGAGUGAUGAGGGUCUUCGGAUCGUAGAACUCUGUUAUUAUGGACGAACAUAUGUCUAAGUAACUGGGAUCAUCUUGACGGUAGCUAAUCAGAAAGCCACGGCUAACUACGUG
rnacentral:rRNA from 1 species